rnacentral:lncRNA from 1 species
GACAUAAUGAAAAGAAAUAGAGAUCGGUGUGUAGGGGGAGUGGUGCAUUCAUUUGAUGGUACCAAGGAAGCAGCAGCUGCUUUGAUUGACUUGGAUCUUUAUAUAGGAUUUAAUGGUUGCUCACUGAAAACUGAAGCUAAUUUGGAAGUUUUGAAGUCAAUUCCUAGUGAAAAAUUAAUGAUUGAGACAGGUAAGUUUGUUUUCAGAACUUUGUUUCAUAUUAAACCAUACCAAACAAAAAGGAAAGCUGGAGAAAGAAAUUUGACUUCAAACUUUAAGUGAACAAGUAUUUUAAAACAGCAUGCUCAACCUCAACAAUUAUGUUUUCCAGAAGAUCUUUGGGGGUUAUUAAUGGAAAAACAUAUGCAAAUGAUUUUUUUCAAUUUAGAAGUUUGCUAUGUCUAAGCACUUAGAAAAUGAGAUGCCAGAAUAUAACUCAGGAGGUUGUAGUUACGAGUACUUAGCUAAACAAGGGGUCUUGACUAAGCACAUCACACUUCCAAGUUUCAAAAUCUGUUCAGAAUUUUGUUUACACAGUGUCUUUAUAAUGGCUUAAUUCUACAGCACUUUGUACAGUGCAACAAUUUAUAUUGGUUUAGUAUAAGAAUUUUAGAAUCCGUUGCCUCUUAAAACAAGGUGAGGCCGGGCGCGGUGGCUCACGCCUGUAUUCCCAGCACUUUGGGAGGCCGAGGUGGGCGGAUCACCUGAGGUCAGAAGUUCAAGACCAACCUGACCAACAUGGAGAAACCACAUCUCUACUAAAAAUACAAAGUUAUCUGGGCAUGGUGGCACAUGCCUGUAAUCCUAGCUACUUAGGAGGCUGUGGCAGGAGAAUUGCUUGAACCCAGGAGGCAGAGGUUGCUGUGAGCCAAGAUCACGCCAUUGCACUCCAGCCUGGGCAACAAGGGCGAAACUCAGUCUCAAAAAAAAAAAAAAAAUACAAAAAAUUAGCUGGGUGUGGUGGUGGCACUUGCCUGUAGUCCCAGCUACUCAGGAGCCUGAGGCACGAGAAUUGUUUGAACCCGGGAGGCAGAGGUUGCAGUGAGCCGAGAUUGUGCUACUGUACUCCAGCCUUGGAGACAGAGUGAGACUCCGUCUCAAAAAAAUAAUAAGGUGAAAAGCUAAAACUUUUAUCUAAACCCUGUCAAGGCUCUCCUUAUACCAUGGACUUUAGGAAAGUCAAGACUGAGCCAUUCUGGAGAAAUCACAUUCAUUUCCUUGGGCAGUCAGGAAAACAAAAUAUUUGAUUAAAAGUACGAUGUUUGCAAAAUGUGUAAUUCUUUAUUAAAAAAUAUUCAAAACCAGUUUCACAUUCAGUAGAGAUAGAAAUUUGUUUAACUUAUGCAAACCUCACUACAUGCAUAGCGAAAAAGAUUUUGAAAACUGAAAAAAAAACUGUUUAACUUAAAUGUUUUCAUGUUGUUAUACAAUUGUAUUUAAGGUUUAGGUCUUUUUUUUAAAGCAUGCUGCACACCAACAAUGUUAGCAGAAAAAAGGAAUAGAAGUGAGUCUUAGAAGGUAUUUAAGAUGCAAUUCAAGAUUUUAUCUUGUGCUUUUCUUAGAACUGUUUUCUGUUGAAAUAACUGUGCCAUUUUGGAAGCUGAAUCACGGUUUAUCAUUUAGAGGUUAUAUAUUAGAUAAUGGUCAUAAAAAAUUUUUAAAAAUGUAAACCCCUUACGAGACACUUUCUUUGCUUAACUAGAUGCACCUUGGUGUGGAGUCAAAAGUACACAUGCUGGAUCAAAAUAUAUAAGAACUGCAUUUCCUACCAAAAAGAAGUGGGAAAGUGGGCACUGCUUAAAAGACAGAAAUGAACCCUGCCAUAUAAUUCAAAUAUUGGAGAUAAUGUCAGCAGUGAGAGAUGAGGAUCCACUGGAAUUAGCCAAUACACUAUAUAACAAUACUAUUAAAGUAUUUUUUCCUGGAAUAUAAUUGGUAUAUGUCUUCCACUUUCCAUCAUGUAUGUAAAAUUUCAUAGUAAAACUUCCUGAUAGUUUCAAUAAAGAAAUUAUCUGC